GACGUAGGAGGCGAGCGUUAUCCGGAUUCACUGGGCGUAAAGCGCAUGUAGGCGGCUGGACAAGUCGUGUGUUAAAGCCCCCUGGCUCAACUGGGGGAGGUCAUGCGAGACUGUACGGCUGGAGGGCAACAGAGGCACGUGGAACUCCCGGUGUAGCGGUGGAAUGCGUAGAGAUCGGGAAGAACACCAGUGGCGAAGGCGACGUGCUGGGUUGCACCUGACGCUGAGAUGCGAAAGUGUGGGGAGCGAACCGG
rnacentral:rRNA from 1 species